rnacentral:misc_RNA from 1 species
GCCAUUAUAAUUUAGCUAAUGGAGGCAUUAUAAUUAUUAAUUUCAUUAUUAUGAUUUACUAGGCCUAUCAUUAAAUGAUUUUUAGAUAAUAAUAAAUAAAAGAUAUCUUUUGGUAAUUUGGCUAAGUCAGCUUAAUGAGUUGAGCUCAAAGUCAAGCUCAUGAGAUUAAUAUACGAGUUUAAAAACAAGCUAAACUUGAGCUAAGCUCACGAGCUUACUAAAUGAGCUAACUGCAAGCUGAGUUCACAAGCAUGAUAAAAGAGUUAAAUGCGAGCUGAACUUGAGUCGAGCUCAAGCCCAAGCCUAAUAAAAUCAGAAGAGCCAAGCUCAAGCUUCAAAUCUGAGUUCGUGUCGAGCUUGAGAUUGUGAAAAGCUAACAAACCAAACCUGAGGUUUUCAAAGCUCGGCUCAUUUACACCCUUUGAUAGAUUAAUUUUUUU